GUUAUAAUCCAUUUAUUACCUGUUAACCAACUUUUGAGCAUAGAUCUGAAAAUGAAAUUUCCUUUAUAAUAUUACGUCAAAGUCACAU